GGAGCAUAACUCAAGAGUAGAGCAUCUGCUUUAUAGACAGGAGGUCCUGGGUUCAAUCCCCAGCAUCUCUG